GACGUAGGGUGCGAGCGUUAAUCGGAAUUACUGGGCGUAAAGCGCGCGUAGGCGGUUUGUUAAGUUGGAUGUGAAAUCCCCGGGCUCAACCUGGGAACUGCAUUCAAAACUGACAAGCUAGAGUAUGGUAGAGGGUGGUGGAAUUUCCUGUGUAGCGGUGAAAUGCGUAGAUAUAGGAAGGAACACCAGUGGCGAAGGCGACCACCUGGACUGAUACUGACACUGAGGUGCGAAAGCGUGGGGAGCAAACAGG
rnacentral:rRNA from 1 species